UACGUAGGAGACAAACGUUAUCCGGAGUUACUGGGCGUAAAGGGCGUGUAGGUGGUCAUGUAAGUCUGGCGUGAAAUUUUUCGGCUUAACCGGGAAAGGUCGUCGGAUACUGUAUGACUAGAGGACGGUAGAGGCGUGUGGAAUUCCGGGUGUAGUGGUGAAAUGCGUAGAGAUCCGGAGGAACACCAGUGGCGAAGGCGACACGCUGGGCCGUACCUGACACUGAGGCGCGAUAGCAUGGGGAGCAAACAGG
rnacentral:rRNA from 1 species